rnacentral:rRNA from 1 species
GGACCCGCACAAGCGGUGGAGCAUGUGGUUUAAUUCGAUGCAACGCGAAAAACCUUACCUACAAUUGACAUACUGCGAAUUUUCUAGAGAUAGAUUAGUGCCUUCGGGAACGCAGAUACAGGUGCUGCAUGGCUGUCGUCAGCUCGUGUCGUGAGAUGUUGGGUUAAGUCCUAUAACGAGCGCAACCCUUACCCUUAUUUGCCAGCGGUUCGGCCGGGAACUAUAAGGGAACUGCCGGUAAUAAGCCGGAGGAAGGUGGGGACGACGUCAAGUCAUCAUGGCCCUUACAUGUAGGGCUACACACGUGCUACAAUGGGAGAUACAAACGGUUGCCAAAGCGCGAGCUGGAGCUAAUCCGAUAAAGUCUUUCGUAGUCCGAAUUGCAGUCUGAAACUCGACUGCAUG